GUGACGUGGCUGGGGGCUUAGGUGGUUUUUCUUUGCGGGAGGGAGUUCAGGCGCUUCGGCAAAACCCUUCCUUUUUUGGGGAAAGGCCAGGCGAUGUUUCUCCACGUAGACAGUUUGGUUGCUGACAGCAGGAUGCAUAAUGCAGCGAGAGCUGCACGACAUGAUCGUGACAGACCACGCCAGCGGGGGCAAGUGAAGUGCCUCUUCCUGAGCAAAGAUGCUCUCCAUCUAGACAGCUGCUCCGCCGGCUGACAGGAGAUGAUAUUGGGUUCCCAUCUGAUACCUGCAACUGUGGCUGCCAUCUUGGAAGAAUGAAGAGGCAAGUCCAAGAGCAAAGUCAACUUGAUGAGGGUCAUAGGACAGAAAGAUGGAAAGAGCCUGAUCCUUGAUCAAGUCAAUCAUUUGCUGAUCUACCCAUGGAAACUCGUACUCAGACUUCUUGUAAUGUCUUAUUUUCUAAGCUACCUUUGGAUAGGUUUUCUGUUACUUGUAGACAAAGCAUCUGAAUGAUAUGUUCCCGUCCACCUCUAAAUCUCCAAUGACAAUCAGGAAAGCUUAUACAUCAGUGGUUCUCAAAGUGUGAUCCCUGGACCAGCAGCAUCAGCAUCACCUGGAAACUUACUAGAAAUGCAAAUUCUCAGAUCCCAUCCUGGUCUUCCUGGAUCAGAAAGGAGGAGUGGAGGCAGCAGCAAUGUGUGUUUUAACAAGCCCUGCCGGCAAUUGUGAUGCAUCCUGAACUUUGCCAAGCCCUGCUUUAUAUAUUCCUCUGUUAUACUAAUGUCAGAACUAACUGCUGGGAGUCUGAGGGUCACUCAUUAUUCCUUCUAAUUCACCCUUUCCUAUCAUGGCUUCAGUCAAUUCCACUAUCUCUAAAGCUCAAAAAAAAAAAAAAAAGAAGAAGAAGAAGAAGAA